UUUAAGUACCGAAACCAAUAGAAUGUUUCUGAGAUUCUCCCUGUUCUUCCCCUCAGUCCCAUGGUUUCUGGGAAUGCUUAAUCCCUUCUUCAUGUUCUUUCCACCGAGGUGAGAACCCUGUGGAGAGCAGUCAGUUCAUGGCUCUAAAGAAGUCUCAGCCACCAGCCCCUGAUUGCUAGUUCCUUGCAGUUCAUAGGGAGUUCUCUGAUUUAGUCUCGUUUUGACAGCAUGGAAUGUCCUCUUGAAGAGCAGGUUUAUAUAUUUUUUUCUUCUUCUAUCCUCCCUCCUGACUUGAUAAAAAUCUCUUCUGCUAUUACAGUGUUUCACAGUGGCGGCCCUGUGUCUUUGUAGCAUAAUUCACUGGGCAAAGUUACAGGUGAUUAGAUGGGGGCUCAGCUGUGUGUGCAGUACCUGUGCAUGCACUCCUUGGAGUCUGGGUGCCACCCUAGCCUUGGGACCCAGAU
rnacentral:lncRNA from 1 species